rnacentral:rRNA from 1 species
GACGAACGCUGGCGGCGUGCUUAACACAUGCAAGUCGAGCGGAAAGGCCACUUCGGUAGUACUCGAGCGGCGAACGGGUGAGUAACACGUGAGUAAUCUGCCCCUGGCUUUGGGAUAGCCACCGGAAACGGUGAUUAAUACCGGGUACGACCCCUUCUCGCAUGGGAUGGUGGUGGAAAGUUUUUUCGGCCAGGGAUGUGCUCGCGGCCUAUCAGCUUGAUGGUGAGGUAAUGGCUCACCAUGGCUUCGACGGGUAGCCGGCCUGAGAGGGUGACCGGUCACACUGGGACUGAGACACGGCCCAGACUCCUACGGGAGGCAGCAGUGGGGAAUAUUGGACAAUGGGCGGAAGCCUGAUCCAGCAACGCCGCGUGAGGGAUGACGGCCUUCGGGUUGUAAACCUCUUUCAGCAGGGACGAAGCGCAAGUGACGGUACCUGCAGAAGAAGCACCGGCCAACUACGUGCCAGCCGCCGCGGUAA